rnacentral:pre_miRNA from 2 species
GUCAGGAAGAGGAAGAAACGAGUGUCUAAGAGCAGUGGGCAUGGGAACAUGGAGGAAAGCCAAACUUUUCUUUACCUCUACAGCUAGGGGUGAAGAUUAGUUUAGUGUUUCCCGAUGCCUCCCAUGCCUAUUGUUCUUAGUUACUCCUUCCCCUUCCUUUUGGCU